GUUUAAUAAAAAAUAACAACAAAAUACACGAUUUUUAUAAAAACUGUUACAGUUAUAGGAAAUGGCAACCAAACAAAAUGCCGAACUUUAAAUGCACCCUGCCAGGCUAUCUGUACACCGUUCUCGAGGCAACGCGGUGUCGUCAUCACGGCGUCAUCUCUGCCUGGCAAAUGGUGUCAAUCUCACGAGCCGUUGGAAAUUAAUAAAGCGACUCAACGGCGGUGGCAGAGUCAUCUGUAUCCGAUAGAUACAUUGGCUCAUAAGCAUAAAUAAUGCGAUCGCAGUGGAAAAUCUAGCUGCGACUCUGUGCCGCAGCUUUUUCAGCUAUGCGUCAGCCAAUAUUGGGGGCGUCUGGGGGGAGGGGGCGUGGCCGGAGCUUUGACUGACAUUUAUCGCCAGCUUCAAUUGUUGCUGCUGCUGCUGCCCGGCAGAGAGUUGCAACAGAGUUUGUUUUUCUUUUCUGUUUUAUAGUGUUUUUGAUUUUUUUGUAUAUCUGUUUUUUGUCGGUUUUUGGUUUUCGUCUUUUUGGUUUUGUGUUUUGUAUUUCGUACUUUUGGUGGCUGGGUGCUGACGACGGCGACGAGGCUCAACGUUUUGGAAAAUUUAGCACAAGGUUGCCACAAAGCAGCCAACAAAAUGAGCAAUUGUGGCAACACACAGUCGAAGUUGAAAUUGAAAUUGAAGCUGCAAAACGCCAAUACACUACAGUUGUUGUUGCAUUCAAAUCCGUGUAGUAGUUGUUGCCCAAAAUCGUAAAUAAAUAAAUACUUAAUUAUGUUGUUUUGGCCGCACCGUUUUUGGCCCGCCAAAGAACUGGAAGUCGAGGCAGUGGAAAACACAUUGCGCAUACGCCAUGUUCAACAGCGCGAUCAGCACUCGCGGCGGUGAGGUGAGAAUCGAGACCUUUUCUCAGCCAGUCACUCAGGACAGGAGCCAAACACUUGUUGCCAAUUAAUCAGGCACUUGAAUAGUUAAGUUAAGACCUGUCGCAAACAUUGCGUAUACGACUUGGAGGCCAGAAGGAAAUUGGCAGGCAGAAAAUGUAUGCGUAUGCCAAAUAAUAAAAAUCAAUAAAAUAAUUAAAUACAGAGUAAUAAUAACAGAUCAAGCAAUUAAAAAUAUUGCAUUUAAGGGGCCAAAAGCCAAAGUAGCUAUCGCUGUAGCUUUAGUUUUUAACUUUAAGCGUACAGUAUUUCGUGUAAAUAAAUUUUAAAAUCUAAUAUUCCGAAGUUCCAAAUUAAAAAUAUAAAUCUUCAAUUUUUUUAUGACUACAGUCUGACUGACAGGAUAAUUAAAUUGUAA